rnacentral:rRNA from 1 species
GUACACUCCUGCGGGAGGCAGCAGUGGGGAAUUUUGGACAAUGGGGGCAACCCUGAUCCAGCAAUGCCGCGUGAGUGAAGAAGGCCUUCGGGUUGUAAAGCUCUUUUGUCAGGGAAGAAACGGUGGUGGCGAAUAACUACUACUAAUGACGGUACCUGAAGAAUAAGCACCGGCUAACUACGUGCCAGCAGCCGCGGUAAUACGUAGGGUGCAAGCGUUAAUCGGAAUUACUGGGCGUAAAGCGUGCGCAGGCGGUUGUGUAAGUCAGAUGUGAAAUCCCCGGGCUCAACCUGGGAAUUGCAUUUGAGACUGCACGGCUAGAGUGUGUCAGAGGGGGGUAGAAUUCCACGUGUAGCAGUGAAAUGCGUAGAUAUGUGGAGGAAUACCGAUGGCGAAGGCAGCCCCCUGGGAUAACACUGACGCUCAUGCACGAAAGCUUGGGGAGCAAACAGGAUUAGAAACCCCUGUAGUCCCAGG